UACGUAGGGGGCUAGCGUUAUCCGGAAUUACUGGGCGUAAAGGGUGCGUAGGUGGUUUCUUAAGUCAGAGGUGAAAGGCUACGGCUCAACCGUAGUAAGCCUUUGAAACUGGGAAACUUGAGUGCAGGAGAGGAGAGUGGAAUUCCUAGUGUAGCGGUGAAAUGCGCAGAUAUUAGGAGGAACACCAGUUGCGAAGGCGGCUCUCUGGUCUGUAACUGACGCUGAGGUUCGAAAGCGUGGGGAGCAAACAGG
rnacentral:rRNA from 1 species